GCCCAGACUCCUACGGGAGGCAGCAGUGAGGAAUAUUGGUCAAUGGCCGGAAGGCUGAACCGGCCAAGCCGCGUGAAGGACGAAGGUGCCAAGCAUUGUAAACUUCUUUUGUCAAGGGACAAAAUCAGGCUCGAGAGCCUGACCGAGGGUACUUGAAGAAAAAGCAUCGGCUAACUCCGUGCCAGCAGCCGCGGUAAUACGGAGGAUGCGAGCGUUAUCCGGAUUUAUUGGGUUUAAAGGGUGCGUAGGCGGACUGUUAAGUCAGCGGUAAAAGCCCGGGGCCCAAUCUCGCUCCGCCGUUGAAACUGGCGUUCUUGAGUGGGCGAGAAGUAUGCGGAAUGCGUGGUGUAGCGGUGAAAUGCAUAGAUAUCGCGCAGAACGCCGAUUGCGAAGGCAGCAUGCCGGCGCCACACUGACGCUGAGGCACGAAAGCGUGGGUAUCGAACAGGAUUAGAUACCCGAGUACC
rnacentral:rRNA from 1 species